UACGGGGGGGGCAAGCGUUGUUCGGAAUUACUGGGCGUAAAGGGCUCGUAGGCGGUCAACUAAGUCAGACGUGAAAUCCCCGGGCUCAACCCGGGAACUGCGUCCGAUACUGGCAGGCUUGAAUCCGGGAGAGGGAUGUGGAAUUCCAGGUGUAGCGGUGAUAUGCGUAGAUAUCGGAAGGAACAUCAGUGGCGAAAGCGGCUUCCUGGACCAGCACCGACGUUCAGGCACGAAAGCGUGGGGAGCAAACAGG
rnacentral:rRNA from 1 species